CAGUCGCCGCGGGAAAACGGAGGAUCCAAGCGUUAUCCGGAUUUAUUGGGUUUAAAGGGUGCGUAGGUGGCCUGUUAAGUCAGGGGUGAAAGACGGUAGCUUAACUACCGCAGUGCCCUUGAUACUGAUGGGCUUGAAUGAACUAGAGGUAGGCGGAAUGUGACGAGUAGCGGUGAAAUGCAUAGAUAUGUCACAGAACACCGAUUGCGAAGGCAGCUUACUAUGGUUUUAUUGACACUGAGGCACGAAAGCGUGGGGAUCAAACAGGAUUAGAGACCCCGGUAGUCCCUGUCUCUUAUAC
rnacentral:rRNA from 1 species